UAGGGCGGGACACGUGUUAUCCUGUCUGAAUAUGGGGGGACCAUCCUCCAAGGCUAAAUACUCCUGAUUGACCGAUAGUGAACCAGUACCGUGAGGGAAAGGCGAAAAGAACCCCGGCGAGGGGAGUGAAAUAGAACCUGAAACCGUGUACGUACAAGCAGUGGGAGCCUUGAUUUAUCAGGGUGACUGCGUACCUUUUGUAUAAUGGGUCAGCGACUUAUAUUCUGUAGCAAGGUUAACCGUAUAGGGGAGCCGUAGGGAAACCGAGUCUUAACUGGGCGAAUGAGUUGCAGGGUAUAGACCCGAAACCCGGUGAUCUAGCCAUGGGCAGGUUGAAGGUUGGGUAACACUAACUGGAGGACCGAACCGACUAAUGUUGAAAAAUUAGCGGAUGACUUGUGGCUGGGGGUGAAAGGCCAAUCAAACCGGGAGAUAGCUGGUUCUCCCCGAAAGCUAUUUAGGUAGCGCCUCGUGAACUCAUCUUCGGGGGUAGAGCACUGUUUCGACUAGGGGGUCAUCCCGACUUACCAACUCGAUGCAAACUACGAAUACCGAAGAAUGUUAUCACGGGAGACACACGGCGGGUGCUAACGUUCGUCGUGAAGAGGGAAACAACCCAGACCGCCAGCUAAGGUCCCAAAGUCAUAGUUAAGUGGGAAACGAAGUGGGAAGGCUCAGACAGCCAGGAUGUUGGCUUAGAAGCAGCCAUCAUUUAAAGAAAGCGUAAUAGCUCACUGGUCGAGUCGGCCUGCGCGGAAGAUGUAACGGGGCUAAACUAUGCACCGAAGCUGCGGCAGCGAUAUGUAAAUAUUGUUGGGUAGGGGAGCGUUCUGUAAGCCUGUGAAGGUGUACUGUGAGGUAUGCUGGAGGUAUCAGAAGUGCGAAUGCUGACAUAAGUAACGAUAAUGCGGGUGAAAAACCCGCACGCCGGAAGACCAAGGGUUCCUGUCCAACGUUAAUCGGGGCAGGGUGAGUCGACCCCUAAGGCGAGGCAGAAAUGCGUAGUCGAUGGGAAACGGGUUAAUAUUCCCGUACUGGUGAUAAUUGCGAUGGGGGGACGGAGAAGGCUAGGCUGGCCGGGCGACGGUUGUCCCGGUUUAAGGAUGUAGGCAGGUGAA
rnacentral:rRNA from 1 species